rnacentral:misc_RNA from 1 species
AGCGACAGAGGACAAAAGCACCCUAUGCCAGGUGAAGGGAGGAACACAAUAAAUUGAAAAAGACAUUAACAGCAUAUAAUUAGAGCAAGCAUAUCUGUCAGUUAUAAAUACAUAUAUGCAGAUUAAAAAAAAAAAUCCCAAGGUAGCUUCGAAAAUUGAAUUUAAGCAUGAAAAAAAGGUACAAAAACCUCCUCAGGAUUUCAAUUUAUAUCAUUUGCCACCUCAUAUAACAUGUUUAGAAGCCAAGACCGUACUUAUCUCUCAUUCAUCCGAGUUUUUUCCCCAUGAAAAAGCUAUAUAAACUUAGUUUGAACAUUUGAAACAGUUGGUCAUGAGUUCAACUCUGAUAGCUGGAUUUGAAAUAUUUGUUUUAUUUCUUUACAUGAUUGAUAAUAGAUAGAUUAGAUCAUACUUCAAAUAUCUGUAGAUUGAGAUCAGCAAAGCACAGAUGGAAAAACCUAAGAAACAAUUAUCAAACAACUCUAUUUAACAACAGUCAAUUUCUUGUUAAGUACACACAAAAAUUUGUGCUCCAUAUGAAAUUUAAAAUAAAAUUUGGAGCCAAUUGAUAGCAUAAUUUGGAGCAAAAAUAAAAUUUAAAAAAAAAAUUGAGAAGAACCUGGCCAGGGGCAGAACCA